CCCAAACGUAUAGUGAGGGUUUGCUGGGAACGUCUGGCAGAAGAACCUGUCAGAUUGAUCUUCAACUCACACCUCCGUCAGAACUUUGACCAGAUAUCGGGGGAGGUGGGGGACAUUGACUCAGAAUGGGCCAUGUUCCGCUCCUCCAUUGUUGAAGCGGCUGACUGUAGCUGUGGUCGCAAGGUAGUUGGUGCCUGUCGGGGCGGUAAUCCUCGAACCCGGUGGUGGACACCCCAGGUGAGAGAUGCCGUCAAGCUGAAGAAGGAGUCCUACCGGACAUGGUUGGCCUGUAGGACACCAGAGGCAGCUGACAGGUAUCGACAGGCCAAGCGAUCUGCGGCUUCAGUCGUUGCCAAGGCAAAAACCCGGGUGUGGGAAGAGUUCGGUGAGGCCUUGGAAAGUGACUUUAAGUCGGCUCCGAAAAGAUUCUGGCAAACCGUCAGGCGACUCAGAAGGGGAAAGCAGUGUGCCACUAGCACUGUAUAUAGUGGAGAUGGUGUGCUGCUGACUUCGACUGAAGACGUCAUUGGGCGGUGGAAGGAAUACUUUGAGGACCUUCUCAAUCCCACCGACACGUUCUCCAGUGAGGAGGCAGAGUCUGGGGACACAGGAAUAGGCUUGUCCAUUACUGAGGCCGAAGUCGCUAAGGUAGUCAAAAAGCUCCUUGGCGGCAGGGCUGCAGGGGUGGAUGAGAUCCGUCCCGAGUUCCUCAAGGCUCUGGAUGUUGUGGGGCUGUCUUGGCUGACACGCCUUUUCAACAUUGCGUGGACAUCGGGGGUGGUGCCACUUGAUUGGCAGACUGGGGUGGUGGUGCCUCUUUUUAAAAAGGGGGACCGGAGGGUGUGUUCCAACUACAGGGGAAUCACACUCCUCAGCCUCCCUGGUAAGGUCUAUGCAAGGGUACUGGAGAAGAGAGUCCGGCUUAUAGUCGAACCUCGGAUCCAGGAGGAGCAGUGCGGGUUCCGCCCUGGUCGUGGAACACUGGACCAACUCUUUACCCUCUCCAGGAUUCUCGAGGGUUCAUGGGAGUUUGCCCAACCAGUCCACAUGUGCUUUGUGGAUUUGGAGAAGGCAUUCGACUG
ensembl:lncRNA